UAAUAUUCCGCUCUUUUAGUGCUCUGGAACGUCACUAUUAACUAUAUUGAAAGACCCCCCCCCGUCGUUAACUAAUUAACUGCUCUUUUGUUGUGUAAAAGUACCCCUCCUCCCCUUGCAAUGAAAAGACCCUUCCCCCAGGGUUGAAUUCAAUGUAACUGCUCUUUUGCCUUUCUGUAACCGCUUGGCUUUUAGGGCAUGACACUUGACUCCUGUUUGAACAAGAUACCCUCUCCUAAUAGCCGGGGCAUGGUCACGUAGGCAAGGGGGCUGCAUGGUCACAUAGGUCACGAAGGCAAGGGGGCUGCAUGGUCACAUAGGUCACGUAGACAGGAUGCCUUCUGCCUUUCCCCUCUUUGUUUCCCCUUCCCGCCUUUCUCUUCGCGCGAGGGGGGUCUUCCAGGGCCAAUCCACUAACACCAAGUAUGCCUUUUUCAAAAGUUCAAACUGUCCACCAAUCAGUUGCGCCCCACCCAAAACUUGUUUGUACCUUCCUAUAAAAGACCCCGCUUCACUCCGGUCGGUGUGCUCGGUUAGCUGGAGCUGCCGACCACCCACCGGUACCUGCGUGACAAUAAACCUCUUGCUGUUUGCAUCCAGUGGCAGUGUUGGAUUCUUGGAAUCCCGCCGAAUCAAUUACUCAAAAGUCAGUGUGCCAUUUCCAUCGGGCUUCUCUGUAAAAUCUCCAGCCUUCACUGGGACGCAUCCUCUCCUCCCCAGAGCUUGGGAGCCUUGUGGAAGCUGCCUCCUAACUAUCCGUUCUGGGUAA
rnacentral:lncRNA from 1 species